rnacentral:rRNA from 1 species
GACGAACGCUGGCGGCGUGCUUAACACAUGCAAGUUGUACGGUACGACAUGGAAGCUUGCUGAAGUGUCGUAGAGUAGCGAACGGGUGAGUAAUGCAUGAGAACCUGCCCUUCAGAGGGGGACAACAGCUGGAAACGGUUGCUAAUACCCCAUAAGCCGAGAGGUAAAAGGAGUAAUCCGCUGGAGGGAGGGGCUCAUGUCCUAUCAGCUAGUUGGUAAGGUAACGGCUUACCAAGGCGAAGACGGGUAGCCGGCCUGAGAGGGCGAUCGGCCACACUGGAACUGAGACACGGCCCA